UUUGAACAAGGAAUCGCCCCCUGAAGUUUUUCGCAUUUGUUUUGAAACACCCUGUAUAUUUGUUUUUUUUUGUCAUUCUUCUGAAUUUUCUCACAAUUCAUCUCUCAUUUUUAUGCCACUUUGUCCAAUUCAUCAUAGUAUCUCUAUUCCAUUAUUAUUUAUACUCAUAUUUUUUAUUGGAAUUCAUCACUCUUCAAUAAUAUUUCAACAUUUGUAUUGCCUGUAUAGAAUUGGUUAUUUUUUUUUUCGUUUUUCAUUUUUUUCAAUUUAUCAUAACUCUAUUUCACUAUUUGUCUCUCAUAUUUUCUUCAUUAUCGGAAUGCCAUUCAUGAAUUCUAUAAACCCCUCCAUUGGUCGUAUUUCUAAGUCUUUUUAUAUGUAUAUAACUACAUAUAUAAUUUUUUGUAUUAUUCUCCUAAAACUGUUCUAAGUUCAUCGCUCGUUUUUUAUACAUAUAGUUUUUUUUACACAAGGCCAUUUUAUUUCUAUAUUGUCUAUAUAGAUUUUGUUGUUUAUUUUACUGCUAUUUGAUAUUUGAUUUCAUUUCUAUUGAUGGCUACAUGGAAUUCAUAAUUUUGGAUUCAUUUUCUUGUUGGUUUACUUUUCAUUCUUUUUAAAAUUGAGUUUUUGAAUGGGAUACUGUAUUGCUUUGGAACAAAGACUUUUGGGACAGAUGCAAAUCAACAAUCAACAGUGGAUUGAGAAUGAAAUCAAAUUCAUCAUUGAAGAGAAAGCUAAAUGAUUUUAGAAUCAAGAUUUUCUAGAAGGGUAGCUAGAAGAUUUUCCUACUUCCACAUAGACAUCAGCAUGUCCGCCAACACCUUGGAUGUUAAUAUUCUUUUUAUAUUACUAUUGUUAAUAAAAUGAUGUAUGUUAAUAAAUAAAAGUGUUAUAAUCAGUGAUAAAAAAA